AUGGUAGGAUAGAGGCCUACCAUGGUUUUAACGGGUAACGGGGAAUUAGGGUUCGAUUUCGGAGAGGGAGCCUGAGAAACGGCUACCACAUCCAAGGAAGGCAGCAGGCGCGCAAAUUACCCAAUCCCGACACGGGGAGGUAGUGACAAUAAAUAACAAUAUGGGGCUCUUACGAGUCUCGUAAUUGGAAUGAGUACAAUUUAAAUCUCUUAACGAGGAACAAUUGGAGGGCAAGUCUGGUGCCAGCAGCCGCGGUAAUUCCAGCUCCAAUAGCGUAUAUNAAAGUUGUUGCAGUUAAAAAGCUCGUAGUUGAAUUUCGGGGUUCAUACGUUGGUCGGGCUUUUUGGUCUGUACUAGCGUAAUGGAUUCCUACCUUCUGAAUAACCGGCAUGCCAUUAAUUUGGUGCGCCGGGGAAGCAGGACUGUUACCUUGAAAAAAUUAGAGUGCUUAAAGCAGGCUAUCGCCUGAAUACAUUAGCAUGGAAUAAUAAAAUAGGACGGCAUGGUUCUAUUUUGUUGGUUUCUAGGAUCACCGUAAUGAUUAAUAGGGAUAGUUGGGGGCAUUAGUAUUCAAUUGUCAGAGGUGAAAUUCUUGGAUUUAUUGAAGACUAACUUCUGCGAAAGCAUUUGCCAAGGAUGUUUUCAUUAAUCAAGAACGAAAGUUAGGGGAUCGAAGACGAUCAGAUACCGUCGUAGUCUUAACCAUAAACUAUGCCGACUAGGGAUCGGACGAUGUUAAUUUUUUAAUGACUCGUUCGGCGCCUUACGGGAAACCAAAGUGUUUGGG
rnacentral:rRNA from 1 species